rnacentral:rRNA from 1 species
AACGCUAGCUACAGGCUUAACACAUGCAAGUCGAGGGGCAGCAUGAUUGAAGCUUGCUUCAAUUGAUGGCGACCGGCGCACGGGUGAGUAACACGUAUCCAACCUUCCGUACACUCAGGGAUAGCCUUUCGAAAGAAAGAUUAAUACCUGAUGGUAUCUUAAGCACACAUGUAAUUAAGAUUAAAGAUUUAUCGGUGUACGAUGGGGAUGCGUUCCAUUAGGUAGUAGGCGGGGUAACGGCCCACCUAGCCUACGAUGGAUAGGGGUUCUGAGAGGAAGGUCCCCCACAUUGGAACUGAGACACGGUCCAAACUCCUACGGGAGGCAGCAGUGAGGAAUAUUGGUCAAUGGACGAGAGUCUGAACCAGCCAAGUAGCGUGAAGGAUGUAGGUCCUACGGAUUGUAAACUUCUUUUAUAAGGGAAUAAAACCUCCCACGUGUGGGAGCUUGUAUGUACCUUAUGAAUAAGCAUCGGCUAACUCCGUGCCAGCAGCCGCGGUAAUACGGAGGAUGCGAGCGUUAUCCGGAUUUAUUGGGUUUAAAGGGAGCGCAGACGGGUCGUUAAGUCAGCUGUGAAAGUUUGGGGCUCAACCUUAAAAUUGCAGUUGAUACUGGCGUCCUUGAGUGCGGUUGAGGUGUGCGGAAUUCGUGGUGUAGCGGUGAAAUGCUUAGAUAUCACGAAGAACUCCGAUUG